rnacentral:rRNA from 1 species
AGUGGCGGACGGGUGAGUAACGCGUAAGAAUCUAACUUCAGGACGGGGACAACAGUUGGAAACGACUGCUAAUACCCGAUGUGCCGCAAGGUGAAACCUAAUUGGCCUGGAGAAGAGCUUGCGUCUGAUUAGCUAGUUGGUGGGGUAAAGGCCUACCAAGGCGACGAUCAGUAGCUGGUCUGAGAGGAUGAGCAGCCACACUGGGACUGAGACACGGCCCAGACUCCUACGGGAGGCAGCAGUGGGAAUUUUCCGCAAUGGGCGAAAGCCUGACGGAGCAACGCCGCGUGAGGGAGGAAGGUCUUUGGAUUGUAAACCUCUUUUCUCAAGGAAGAAGUUCUGACGGUACUUGAGGAAUCAGCCUCGGCUAACUCCGUGCCAGCAGCCGCGGUAAUACGGGGGAGGCAAGCGUUAUCCGGAAUUAUUGGGCGUAAAGCGUCCGCAGGUGGUCAGCCAAGUCUGCCGUCAAAUCAGGUUGCUUAACGACCUAAAGGCGGUGGAAACUGGCAGACUAGAGAGCAGUAGGGGUAGCAGGAAUUCCCAGUGUAGCGGUGAAAUGCGUAGAGAUUGGGAAGAACAUCGGUGGCGAAAGCGUGCUACUGGGCUGUAUCUGACACUCAGGGACGAAAGCUAGGGGAGCGAAAGGGAUUAGAUACCCCUGUAGUCCUAGCCGUAAACGAUGGAUACUAGGCGUGGCUUG